rnacentral:lncRNA from 1 species
CUGAGUCCUGGUAGAAUACUUAAUCAUGGUUACCAAGUGACCAUGCAUCCCUAAUUUCUUAUUAUAAUCUGGGUUUUGCCAGACCUGCCAAAUCAUAAGGCCAGAGAAGCCAGCUGUGGCCCGUUGCACAAUAGAAGUAGUAUAUCCAGAAUUAAGACUUUAGAGAUCAAAAUGAUAUACCCAGGAUCAUGAAGGAAGGCCCACAGAAGUUGCUGUGUGAACAUGUGUGGAGAUGUGAAUCCAUAUAGCUCAAAGGGUGGACUGUGACACCUAUGAGAGCUACAAAUGAAGACUUAGGAGUGUUCAUCAAAUAAGGAGUUGCAAGAAGAACACAGAAACCAGAUUUAUUGUAUACAUGAAAAAAUAAAAAGUACUACUCAAGGAAAGUUUGAGCAUUUUUAUUCACUAAGUUCCAUUUCCUGGUGUUUCAUGCAUGCUAGGAAUUCUAAAUACUGUACUGUUGAAUGCUUGUUUGAAUAGCAAACGCAUUAGACAUGCAAUUUAACAUUUAAAAAAAGGUACAUUGUGCAUGAAUACUAAAGAAAGGCAUUUCUUUCAUUGUCUGAGAAGAAAAUGGAAAAUAAAUUGUGUGAUGUGCAAUUUGGGCUGCUAGAGAACUACUUUAGAUCUCUUACCUGGAAUAAUUUUUACUCUUACCUCAAAGUCAAUCACAGCAGGAUUUUCC